CAACAAGGGCAAUAUGAGGUAGCUCUGUCAUUACAGGCAGGAGAUGCUCUUGCUUCUAAUGGGAUGGGAGCGAGACAUGGAGAAUCUUGAAAAGAUUUCAAUGCAGAAACAAGAAAAAGUUUCACUGAGGUUAAGUAAUUUUCAGCAUUGCUGUUGAGAAAUGCCAUCUACCAUGGCUGAAAUCACUGACAAGAACAUGCCAGCAAGACCCAAUUUGACAGCAAAAAAAGGAAGGGGAAAAAAUGAUUGAUUGAUUGAUUGAUUGAUGAAAAGAAUUAUUACAGUGUUUCCAGCUGUUUCCAUCACUCAGCUCCUUUGCAAAAUAAGAAAGAAGAAUGUCUGAGCCACAGCUCUCCAAGUACAUGAACGCUGUGGCCGGGGGAGACUCGUGGCUAUGGCUAACUCUGAGGGGAAAAUAAAAUCACAAAGAAACAACUUCUGAAAGAAGGGAGGAAAAUGAGAAGGGAUUAAUCAACAAGCAGCUGCUGGAAACUGUGAUACGACGUUGUUUCUGUCUUGUAAGCAGUCUGUCUUGUAGGCAGGACUUGAAACUAUGGAGAUACAAUGGAGAUGUUCCAGACCUGCUAACAGACCCCCUUAGUCAUGGAAGCAGCAACCUGUAGUAAAUCAUCCUGAAGGCCAAUGAAAGGUUUUUAACAACUUUAUUAAUGAACUGGAGAGGGAGGAGAAUGUCAGUGACAUCAGUAGGAAAUGUUACAUUUGUGUGUGUUGCAGGCAGAAAAAUUGCUCAAAGGCAGUUGUGGAGAUUAAAAUGAUAAGGCAGAAUUACUACAGACUCGUUCAAUUUUGGGAACUGUAACUGUUGAAAGGGGAGCCAAAUACAUUGUUCCUCACAACACGUACAGUCUGUCCAGAGAACAAGAGGAACUGCACUCUUGUAGAAAUGGAAGUCCAGCAGACAAAUAUCAAGGGGAGAUCAGCUGUUGGCAAGGGAUGGCUGGGAUUGUUCCACUGACCUGUUCCAUAGCUAUUCCUGGAAAAAGGUGCAAAGAAAGAGGAAAAAAACCCUAAAUUAAUCCAAAUGAAAAGGCUGGCUGACAUGGUCUAUGGCUGUGGUGAGGUACUGCUAAGUAAACAAAGCAUAUGGUGUUCCCCAACUGUGUCCAGCUUGGGAAAGAUGUAAAAAAAGCCCCCACAUGCAGUCUGUCAUGGAACACUGAAAUAGGAGAGCAAAGAAGUGGCUGUAAAUGUGGAUGUGUGCAAAGAGAGUCAGAGUCUGCUGUUGGGAUAAACCACCAAAGGGCCUUGUCCUUCCCACCAAGAAGGGUUACCUGCUGGAAGGAGAAACUCUGACUUUGUGAAGGAGGAAUUAAGAUCAGCAGUGCAGGCAGGAGUGCAGCUGUGGUCUUGUAAGUAAAACAGUCUUGGAAGGGAGGCAGCUGAGAGGCUCUCCUCUGGAAACCUUCCUCCAGGUGGGUAACAACUCCAGUGUCUCAUUUUCUGUGGUAGAUUCAUAUUUAUGAAUUGAUCUUAUGUACUCAGGAGGUAGCAGAGAACAAGCUUUGCUGUCUAUUUCUAGCCUGCCAAACUAGUAUCAAGGGAGCUUAACUUCAAGUACUAGUAACUUCUUCAUAUAUUAAGAAAAAAAUAGUUUGACUGUGAAUACACACAUACUGUAGUAUUUUGUAAAUAAAAAUCUCCUUGGCUAUGGAAAUUUCUUCUAGCCUGUAAAAUACUCAUCUUCCUAAAGAUGACUGCACAUUUUUGAAUUGCCUUCUGUUUUAUAAGUUGUGCUACUGUUGCUGAAGGCUGCUGUCAGAAGUGGUUGCUGCAGCUGAAUGUGGAUGAACUAUAGCUACCGUCACCACAUUUUCCAGUGGUGCAGUCAAAUCUAGGAAAAAAAGAUUCUUUCUAAGUUCAUUUUCAGCAAUGAAUUUGAAAUGGAUUCAAAAAUACUGAGGUAAAAGGAACUACAAAACUUGUCUGAGCAAAAAGCAACAGAGACAUAGCCCAGACAAGCAAAGAUUUCAGCAUUGCAUCUCUGAGCCACUAACACAACUGUGUUGGUUGCGGCUCCCAUGACACACACGUCUUAAAACCUCAAAUAAAACUUAUGCAUCAGUACUCCUCCUUGUGAUCCACACCACAGAUUUGCAAGUGAAACAGAGCCCGGUGCUUGAAGCCAAAAGUAUGUGAUAAAAUGCAGAAGUCUGGAGGGAAGCGAGUCAGAGAUACCCAUGGAGGAGAAUAGUCUCUUGGAGGAGGCGAAUGCUAAGGGCCACCACCUUUAUGAAUGCAACAACCAGCAACUCAUCCAAUACACACUGGGAGCUGAUGUGACUUUUACUGAUGUGUGAACAGAACCACUUUCUGGGUGUGCAUUCAUAUGGAAGAAUAUAAGACAAG
ensembl:lncRNA